GAUGGAGUGUGCCAGGCUGAGCUGCCACUCGGGGUGCCCAGGCUGGCCCACUCUGUUCC
rnacentral:pre_miRNA from 1 species